AGUAAGACCAAACUCAGUGUGCCAUUUCCUUGUCUGUAGCCAAGUCUGUGGGCCUUUGAGUUGGCCACCUGGGUGAGGACCUCCU
rnacentral:pre_miRNA from 1 species